rnacentral:lncRNA from 1 species
GGUCUUGUCCUAAGGUAGCCUGUGACAUACCUCAAGACCCAGCACCCAGGUGAUGUGACUCUUCUGCCUGGUUUCUGCCCACAUGUUACAUUGUGACAUACAUCUAGAGAAGCACCUAGGUGAUACAACUUCCCUUUUCUGCCUGAGCCCUGCCUACUGGGGACAUUGGGACAUAUCUCUGAGCCUAUGAGCUAAGUGAUGUGACUCUCUUCUUCCACCUGGGCCUUUACAAUGGGGCGAUUGUGACAUAUUGCUGAGUCCAGCACUUAGUUUUUCCAUAAAUUCUUCCCUGAGCCUUGAAGUGAGCCUCUGGUGGUCCAGUGAUCAUUACCAUCCUCACUUUAGCAUCUGGUGCUUCUGCUGGAGCAAUGUUAAUUGAAGCUCCGGCAAAGCGAGAAAGCUGCUUGAUGUGCUUGGCCCUGCUUGCCGAUGAUGACACCGACUGAUAGAGCCUGGAUAAACAGAUGAACAGUCUCCGUUUCUGAUUGCUCAAACUGCGGCUUUGGCACAUGCCUCAACAUUGCCUUUAACUGUAAUGGUGCGUUCUGGAUUAUACAGCGUCAAUUCCUGAAAGCACCUUGAUGGCCUUGAGGGCCCAGCUCUCCUCUGGGCAGUCCAUGAACGCAUAGCCAGUCUUCACCAGGAAGGAUCCCAACACUGGGAUCUUGGCGUCCUUGAAGAUACUUUCUAGGUCCAAGGGGACGGCGUUCUCGUGGAGGUUUCCGAUAUACAGUUUGUUCAUUGUGAAGAAUGGUUGUUUAAAAAAAUUAACGAGAAGAACGAGAAAUUAAAACCACCCAUGGUGAUGGAUGGAUCCAGCUGGUUUUGUUGCUCUCAUCUUCUCACCUUUAAAAUACACAAACACAGAAAGAACCAAGCACAAGAACAAGGAGUGAAAAAUCAGAUCCGAGGCUUGUUUUUCCUUGUCCUAGAUAUGUUUUAAAAGAGAAAGAAAAGAAAAAGCCUAGCUACAACCCAAAUGCAUCAACCAGUCUUCCUAAGUCUCGCUUUUGAAUAAUUUUCAAAUGAGAUGUACACCUAAAUUUUAAGAGUGUUUGAGUUUGUGUUUGCUUUAGUGGUGCUUUAUAUCUGUCUGAUUGUAAGCAUAAUGUUCAUGGAAAGAGACUUUUGGUAGGAAUCAAACUGGGACUCUUACAAUGGCUUAAGUCCAUCAGAAUAGUUCUGAUGCUACUUAGGAGCAUCAGAACUCCUUUCUUUGCCUGAUUUUUCAACUUAUUUCUUAAUUGGAACCCCAUAAAGAACAUGAAUGGUCUUCUGAUAUCCUUAAUGUCUUAGAGUUAUAUCAAUAUUUUGCUUACCAG